UACGAAGGGGGCUAGCGUUGUUCGGAAUUAUUGGGCGUAAAGAGCUCGUAGGCGGUGUGUCGCGUCGGUCGUGAAAACUUGGGGCUUAACUCUGAGCUUGCGGUCGAUACGGGCAUCACUUGAGUUCGGCAGGGGAGACUGGAAUUCCUGGUGUAGCGGUGAAAUGCGCAGAUAUCAGGAGGAACACCGGUGGCGAAGGCGGGUCUCUGGGCCGAUACUGACGCUGAGGAGCGAAAGCGUGGGGAGCGAACAGG
rnacentral:rRNA from 1 species